rnacentral:lncRNA from 1 species
GUGAUCUGAGGGGCAAGACACUCAGCCGGCUCAGGGCGACGCCAGUUCAACCCAAUUUCCAUCACACAUGAGGAGCCAUUCCUGCCUGUCGCCCACACCUUCGAGGCCGUGUCGUCUGAGAAGCCUCCUGGAGCCUCUGUGCAGCUUCAGGGAGCUCUUUGAUUCUCUGCUGAGCGUCCGUACCGCGGGCCCCGCCGUGGGAGCCGUCCCUCCGGAGAGGAGCGGGAGGAAAACCAUUUUGUCGACUCCAGGCAGUCUUCCAGGAGGAGAGCUUAUCCUCAGAGCUCAGAGGUCGUGUGGUCCAAGCUGGUCCUUUGACACAGGGGAGAAGUGAGGCAGAAAAGAAAUUCCCGGAGUCAGUUCUCCAAAAACGGUUUGUGACCACAGUCCGCCCAGGAUCGGACCCAACAGCCCUCCUGGCGGCCUCGCCCAGAUCCGGGGAAGCGGUGUUUCUUCCCAGGGCUGCUGGUGCGGCUCGCAGAGGGGGAGCACCACCGUUUCUGGAGGAAGAGGAGGCCACGGGUGUCCUGGGUAGAAAGAACUCAGUGGCCAGGUUCGCAUCUCAAUAUGGGAUCUUGAGCGACUUGCCCCCGACUCUGACCCUGUGUGGGAGCCCCACCCUCCACCCCAGCCCCAGUGUCCUCGGCUCUGCUGAGGUCUUGGGACCCUUCAGUCUGCACUAACCCACCACACCCUUGACUGUGCGCUGCUUCACAGGGGAACGAGACGGGGCGGGGUGGGCAUUGGUCAGUGAUGAAAGCUGACAUGUUUUCUGGGCCAUGUUUUCGCCUCUGCUGGGUGUGCCUCCAGGAGUGGACUUGUGGGGUCAUGGGGUACUGCUCUGCGGAGUUGACUGGCAUGUUCCCAGCAGCGCAUAACACUGAGUUUCUUUUUAUGUGUUUAUUGGCUGUUUGUAUAUGUUACUUAGAGAAAUGUCCUUUGCCCUGAAAAAAACUGGAUGUUUCUUUUUACUAUUAUUAAGGAGUAAGAGUUAUUUAUAUAUUCUAGAUACAAGCCCCUUGUCGGAGACACGAUUUGCAAAUAUUUUCUCCCACUCUGCCAGUCGUCUUUUCACUUUCUCGUGUCCUUUGAUGUGCAAAAGUUUUUAAUUUGAAGUCCACAUUGUGUACUUUCCUUCUGUUCCUUGUGCUUUUGAUGUCAUUUCAAAGAGACUCUGGCCUGCUCUGAGCUGAAAAGAUGCACGCCUGUGUUUUCUUGCAAGACUUCCGUAGACAUUUAGGUCUCAGUACAUCUUGAGAUAGUUUUUAACAUGUAGAUAAUCUCUGUGUGUGCGUGUGGCUACCCAGGACCAUUUGUUGCAAAGACUAUUCGUC